ACGAGGUCAAUGGCAUCUAGUCUGGCCGACCUCAAUCCAUAUUACUUUAUUUAAAUCUUCUGCAACUCAAACAAGAAUUUGCAGAAAUAGAGGAGAGAAAAAUAUGGGUUCCAUUUUGAAGAUCCGUGCUGAUCACGUGCUUCAUUUGUCCAAAAUCGCCAACAAUGGUGGUUCAACAAAUGCUGUUGGUAUGGGCGGUAUAGGAAAUUUUCACUUAUAUACAGGACUCGUGAAUUUGCUGAGCGGAUCUAAAAGACGGCAUAAAGCCGUAAUUAGUUGCUGAUCGUGUUUGGAUGAGAAGGAGCCGUGAACAACAACUUGAAGAGUUGGUUGUUCCGGUUACGAUCGUUGCCUAUCGCUUCGAACAAAUGCUUCCUCCAUCAUAUCAUAUCCGACUUCUCCUACUCUAUGUAUAAUAAUGUCGGAUAGUUAAUAAGAUUUUCAACAUUAUAUAUAUAUAAAUAAAUAUCGUAAUUAUUGUGCAAUUUUCUUUCGCUUCCUGCUAAGGGAUAUGGAAGACUAGUAUGGCUUGAUUUAGAUUCGUUUAUUGUAAUCGAGAUCGAGCAUUUUGGCUAUGUUUGGUAAGCUUUUUGGCUUCCAUUUCUAUUUUAUUCUGGAGAAAGAUGUUUUGGGAGAAGAAUUUGUAAAUAAAAUAAAGUUUAUUUGUGUUUUGA